UGCCAGCCGCCGCGGUAAUACGGAGGGUGCAAACGUUGCUCGGAAUUAUUGGGCGUAAAGGGGAGGUAGGUGGUCUCGUUUGUCGGGUGUGAAAGCCCCAGGCUCAACCUGGGAACUGCGCCCGAAACGGCGAGACUAGAGUACUGGAGAGGAUAGUGGAAUUCCCGGUGUAGAGGUGAAAUUCGUAGAGAUCGGGAGGAACAUCUGAGGGGAAGGCGACUAUCUGGACAUGUACUGACACUAAACUCCGAAAGCAUGGGGAUCAAACAGGAUUAGAUA
rnacentral:rRNA from 1 species